rnacentral:rRNA from 1 species
AGAGUUUGAUCCUGGCUCAGGAUGAACGCUGGCGGCGUGCUUAACACAUGCAAGUCGAACGGAAUCACAAUUUAGCUUGCUAGAAUGUGAUUUAGUGGCGGACGGGUGAGUAACGCGUGGGUAACCUACCGUAUACUGGGGGACAACAGUUGGAAACGACUGCUAAUACCGCAUAAGAUCACAGCCUCGCAUGAGGCAGGGGUAAAAACUCCGGUGGUAUACGAUGGACCCGCGUCUGAUUAGCUAGUUGGUGAGGUAACGGCCCACCAAGGCGACGAUCAGUAGCCGGCCUGAGAGGGUGAACGGCCACAUUGGGACUGAGACACGGCCCAAACUCCUACGGGAGGCAGCAGUGGGGAAUAUUGCACAAUGGGGGAAACCCUGAUGCAGCGACGCCGCGUGAGUGAAGAAGUAUCUCGGUAUGUAAAGCUCUAUCAGCAGGGAAGAAAAUGACGGUACCUGACUAAGAAGCCCCGGCUAACUACGUGCCAGCAGCCGCGGUAAUACGUAGGGGGCAAGCGUUAUCCGGAUUUACUGGGUGUAAAGGGAGCGUAGACGGCGAUGCAAGUCUGAAGUGAAAGGCGGGGGCUCAACCCUUGGACUGCUUUGGAAACUGUAUUGCUAGAGUGCAGGAGAGGUAAGUGGAAUUCCUAGUGUAGCGGUGAAAUGCGUAGAUAUUAGGAGGAACACCAGUGGCGAAGGCGGCUUACUGGACUGUAACUGACGUUGAGGCUCGAAAGCGUGGGGAGCAAACAGGAUUAGAUACCCUGGUAGUCCACGCUGUAAACGAUGAUUAAUAGGUGUUGGGUGCUAUAAGCAUUCG